rnacentral:tRNA from 1 species
UCUCUGGCAGUCCAGUGGUUAAGACUUUGCACUUCCACUGCAGAAGAUACAGGUUCAAUCCCUGGUCGGGGGA